rnacentral:rRNA from 1 species
GUGAGGAAUUUUGCGCAAUGGCCGCAAGGCUGACGCAGCAACGCCGCGUGGGUGAUGAAGGCCUUCGGGUCGUAAAGCCCUGUCAGGUGGGAAGAAAGGCUUGGAGAAGCAACGCUUUGAGUUUGACGGUACCACCAGAGGAAGCACCGGCUAACUCCGUGCCAGCAGCCGCGGUAAUACGGAGGGUGCGAGCGUUAUUCGGAAUUACUGGGCGUAAAGCGCGUGUAGGCGGGGAUGCAAGUCUGAUGUGAAAGCCCUGGGCUUAACCUGGGAAGUGCAUUGGAAACUGCAUUUCUUGAGUACUGGAGAGGAAGGGGGAAUUCCCGGUGUAGAGGUGAAAUUCGUAGAGAUCGGGAGGAAUACCAGUGGCGUAGGCGCCCUUCUGGACGGUAACUGACGCUGAGACGCGAAAGCGUGGGGAGCAAACAGGAUUAGAAACCCCGGUAGUCC